GCGGAUUGGGCAUGCAUGCCUAUCACAAAAACAUAAGACACAUUGUUUACUUCUUGUAAUGAUCCAAUCUUUUAACCACCUAAAACAAAUUAUUUCUCUUCCGCAUGAAUCUCAAAGCAUGAAAAAAAAAAAACCCUCAGGUGUGCUGUGUGAGAGGAAGAAACAGAAGACACCCGACCUCUUCUCCGACUCCCUCAGAGAAAGGGUUGGAACAUUGCCAAAAAUAAGUGGGAUUUUGGUCUAUAAAUAGAGAGCCCCUCUUCAACCUUGUUUUCCACCACAAAUUGCUGGGACAGCACUGCCGAUUUGAGUCUUUCCCUCGAGUCCUUUUUCUUGGGAUUUCACCGAAGAGGUCGCCGGGUCUCUCACAUGGAUGUCAUCGAACAGAGAGUCUCCCUUAUUCUUAGAAUUUCUUCUUGUUCACCGACUGCUGGCGGCUGUGGCCACCAUUAAGGUCAUCUUUUGAUUAGGGCUAAGUGUGGGCUGUUGGUCAUCGACCUGGUUCCACAGUCAUGGCUGGGUCAAGAGAGGAAAAAUAACGGGGUUUCGGCUGCCUUGCUUAAAGAAGAAGGGGAACAAUCUUUCGGACAGGAGAUCUUCGAAUAGAUUCUUUAGCACCUGACUCAUAAAUUGGGGUGCGGAUCAAUACUAGGAUCAUUAAUUUGUUAUCAAUAGAAGGAUUCUUAGAUAUGAACACCGAUAUAUAUACAUGUAUUUAUUUUUGCACUACAUGAUUUGAUUUCUCAUGGCUGAUAUUUGUUUUAUAUAAUGGUUGGUAUGAUAAUUUAUAUAUUUUAUAUCA